UACGUAGGAUGCAAGCGUUGUCCGGAAUUAUUGGGCGUAAAGAGCGCGCAGGCGGUGUGCCAAGUCAGAUGUGAAAUAUCCCGGCUUAACCGGGAGGGGUCAUUUGAAACUGGUAGACUAGAGUACAGCAGAGGAUAGCGGAAUUCCCGGUGUAGUGGUGAAAUGCGUAGAUAUCGGGAGGAACACCAGUGGCGAAGGCGGCUAUCUGGGCUGAAACUGACGCUGAGGCGCGAAGGCUAGGGGAGCAAACAGG
rnacentral:rRNA from 1 species